CACGUAGGCGGAUUGCUAAGUCAGGGGUGAAAUCCUGGAGCUCAACUCCAGAACUGCCCUUGAUACUGGCGACCUCGAGUCCGGGAGAGGUGAAUGGAACUGCGAGUGUAGAGGUGAAAUUCGUAGAUAUUCGCAAGAACACCAGUGGCGAAGGCGGCUCACUGGCCCGGUACUGACGCUGAGGUGCGAAAGCGUGGGGAGCAAACA
rnacentral:rRNA from 1 species